GGUUAAGUGACUAAGCGUACACGGUGGAUGCCUGGGCAGUCAGAGGCGAUGAAGGACGUACUAACUUGCGAUAAGCGCAGAUAAGGCAGUAAGAGCCGUUUGAGUCUGCGAUUUCCGAAUGGGGAAACCCAACUGCAUAAGCAGUUACUGUUAACUGAAUACAUAGGUUAACAGAGCAAACCGGGGGAACUGAAACAUCUAAGUACCCCGAGGAGAAGAAAUCAACCGAGAUUCCGGUAGUAGCGGCGAGCGAACCUGGAUUAGCCCUUAAGCACUCGGUGAAGUAGGUGAACAAGCUGGAAAGCUUGGCGAUACAGGGUGAUAGCCCCGU
rnacentral:rRNA from 1 species